AUUGAACGCUGGCGGCAUGCUUUACACAUGCAAGUCGAACGGUAACAGGCCGCAAGGUGCUGACGAGUGGCGAACGGGUGAGUAAUGCAUCGGAACGUGCCCAGUCGUGGGGGAUAACUAUCCGAAAGGAUAGCUAAUACCGCAUACGAUCUGCGGAUGAAAGCGGGGGACCUUCGGGCCUCGCGCGAUGGGAGCGGCCGAUGUCAGAUUAGGUAGUUGGUGGGGUAAAGGCUCACCAAGCCAACGAUCUGUAGCUGGUCUGAGAGGACGACCAGCCACACUGGGACUGAGACACGGCCCAGACUCCUACGGGAGGCAGCAGUGGGGAAUUUUGGACAAUGGGCGCAAGCCUGAUCCAGCAAUGCCGCGUGCAGGAAGAAGGCCUUCGGGUUGUAAACUGCUUUUGUACGGAACGAAACGGCUCUGGUUAAUACCUGGGGCUAAUGACGGUACCGUAAGAAUAAGCACCGGCUAACUACGUGCCAGCCGCCGCCGUAAGAC
rnacentral:rRNA from 1 species